rnacentral:rRNA from 1 species
UAGGGAAUCUUCGGCAAUGGGGGGAACCCUGACCGAGCAACGCCGCGUGAGUGAAGAAGGUUUUCGGAUCGUAAAGCUCUGUUGUUAAGGAAGAACGAGUGUGAGAAUGGAAAGUUCAUACUGUGACGGUACUUAACCAGAAAGGGACGGCUAACUACGUGCCAGCAGCCGCGGUAAUACGUAGGUGGCAAGCGUUGUCCGGAUUUAUUGGGCGUAAAGCGAGCGCAGGCGGUCAAUUAAGUCUGAUGUGAAAGCCCCCGGCUCAACCGGGGAGGGUCAUUGGAAACUGGUUGACUGGGGUGCAGAAGAGGAGAGUGGAAUUCCAUGUGUAGCGGUGAAAUGCGUAGAUAUAUGGAGGAACACCAGUGGCGAAGGCGACUCUCUGGUCUGUAACUGACGCUGAGGCUCGAAAGCGUGGGUAGCAAACAGG